rnacentral:tRNA from 1 species
CAGAAUAUAGCUUAAAAAGCAACUUGCUUACACCAAAUUGAUGUCUGCUUAAACCAGACUAUUCUGAG